AAGACCUUGCGCUUUUGGAGCGGCCGAUGCCUGAUUAGCUUGUUGGUAAGGUAAAAGCUUACCAAGGCUUCGAUCAGUAGCUGGUCUGAGAGGACGGCCAGCCACACUGGGACUGAGACACGGCCCAGACUCCUACGGGAGGCAGCAGUGGGGAAUUUUGGACAAUGGGGGCAACCCCGAUCCAGCCAUGCCGCGUGAGUGAAGAAGGCCUUCGGGUUGUAAAGCUCUUUCAGCCGGAACGAAACGGUUACGGUUAAUACCCGUGAUUACUGACGGUACCGGAAGAAGAAGCACCGGCUAACUACGUGCCAGCAGCCGCGGUAAUACGUAGGGUGCGAGCGUUAAUCGGAAUUACUGGGCGUAAAGCGUGCGCAGGUGGUUUUGUAAGUCAGAUGUGAAAGCCCCGGGCUCAACCUGGGAACU
rnacentral:rRNA from 1 species